GUUCCUACAGCAAUCACAGAAGAGAGACACCAGGAAGAGGAAGCCCGGAAGCCCUGGGGCAGCCUGGUCUGGCCCUGUGAGACUUAUGCUUUAACGAGGUUCAACCCCAGCCUACAGAAAUGGGAUUGUUUUUAAAAGAUCCUCUACAAAUCUAAUGAAAUGGUGAACAUUCAAGGAAACAACUGACAAGACUAAGUUUUGGCAGAUGCACAGCAACUGGAACUCUCAUACAUGGGGAAUGCAAGAUGGCACAAGCACUGUGGAAAAUAGUUUGCCAAUUUAUUAAAAGCUAAACAUGUAGUAGCAAACCAA